rnacentral:rRNA from 1 species
CUACGGGGCGCUGCAGCUAGGAAUAAUCUGCAAUGCGCGAAAGCGUGACAGUUUGAGCCAGAGUGCUUCUCACUUGAGAAGCUUUUGCCAAAUGUAAAAAGUUUGGCGAAUAAGGACUGGGUAAGACGAGUGCCAGCCGCCGCGGUAAUACUCGCGGUCCAAGUCGCAGCCAUCUUUAUUGGGGCUAAAACAUCCGUAGCUUGUUAGAUAAGUUCCUUGUGAAAUCUUAUCUCUUAAGGAUAAGGCGUGCAAGGAAUACUGUCUAGCUAGAGACCGGUAGACGCAGGAAGUACGUUCGAAGUAGCGGUAAAAUGUGUUGAUCUCGGACGGACUCACAACAGCGAAGGCAUCCUGCGAGAACGGUUCUGACUGUCAGGGAUGAAGGCUAGGGGCGCAAAACGGAUUAGAUACCCGUGUAGUC